AUAUAUUUUUAACUAGGCAAAAGCUAACCAUGUCUUGGACUCAGCAAAUCUUCAUAUAUCUAUCAAUCCUCGCAAUCAAUUCAUACUAUGAUCCGAGUGCUGGUACCUGGAUCUCAGGAUAAAAAUCAUUUCAAUGUCAUUUAGUUACAUUUUUGAGUUGAAUUCAUGUAUAAUUUGUCUACCAACAUUUUAGCAAUGUGUUUUUAAAAAAAACAAGAAUAAACGUUAUAGUCGAGUGCCUCAACUAUUAGAUAUCGAA